rnacentral:rRNA from 1 species
CGCGGUAAUACCAGCUCCACUGGCCUAUANNNNCNUUGUUGCGGUUAAGAGGCUCGUAGUUGGAUUGGACUAUUAUAUCACAAUGACUCUCACACAGUCAUUAUAAUAGUAUCCCACAUAUAUUAUUCAUUUGAUAUAUGUGGGUCGACUAUUUUUUUACUGCUUGUAAAAAAAAUAUUACGCAUACACACACACACACUUUUCAACACUGUGAACAAAUCAGAGUGUAUCAAACAUGUCUUUUUUUGAAUGCGCAUUGAAUGUCUUAUCAUGGAAUGUUGCACUUCAUAUAUAAAAAUUCAUACACACGCACACACAAUACACACUGAUCACACCCACACACGUGUAAUGCGAAAUAAAUUUUUUAUAUGCAUAUAAAUACGUCGAUGGAGAUAGUUGGAGUCAAGAGUACUGCAGGGCGAGCGGUGAAAUGCGUUGACCCUUGCAAGACUACCAGAAGCGAAAGCGCUUGGCUAGGCUAUUCUCUUUGUGAAUGUAUAUGUGUCUGUGUCACACACACACACACACACACAGACGCAUAUACUGACACUAAACAACGAAGAACGAAGGUUGGGGGAUCAAAGAGGAUCAGAUACCCUCGUCGUCCCAUUUGUUACAUCAAACGAUGGGCUCUCAAUUGCAUAUUUAAUAUGUGAUAGAGUAUCACACUGUCCCUGACCUACAAAAAUACCUUUGUGACUUGAGCUUGCAAUAUUCACGUAUUGCGCUCGUCAUAAUAUUUUACGUACGGUCUCGAUAGACGUUUUGAUAUGAAUAUUCACUAUUCAUUGCGUGUAAGUUUUAUGCUAUACUAUUUUAUAUGUAUGCAUAGCGUGCACCUGAUUUUCGGAGCUUUGCGCUCAAAAAUUUAAAACUGGUGAGAUGUAAGCAUAGUGCGUUGUAUCUGUGUAUUUUUUUUUAAAUACACUCAACACACAUAUUAUAUGUGAUGCACGUUUUAGGCACGCGCUUACUGCAGAAAUGUCUGAGACAUUCCCCUCCGGGGGUAGUAUGCACGCAAGUGUGAAACUUGAAGGAAUUGACGGAAGGGCACCACAAGAACGCGUGGAGCAUGUGGCUUAAUUUGACUCAACGCGGGAAAUCUUACCGGGUCCGGACACACUGAGGAUUGACAGGUGGUUUAUACAUCUCACACUGURAUGWUGURURUAUAAAUAUGCUAGUUCUUUCAUGAUUAUGUGAUAGGUGGUGCAUGGCCGUUCUUAGUUCGUGGAGUGAUCUGUCUGCUUAAUUGCGUAUCACUAAACGUGUAAUUAUACAUAUGUUAAUAUGCAGUGUCUAAUACUUAUGUAUAUGACCUCAUAUUUUACAUAUUAUACACGUUGAUAGCAACGAACGUGACCGUAACCUCUUGUUGCCUGGCUCGUGACUCGUCUCAGUGUAUGAAUAUCAUUUCAUACACUGUGGAGACCAGAUGCAAACUAGAGGGACCGCUGUAUUCUUUCUUAAACCAGGGGAAGGUUACGGCAAUAACAGGUCUGUGAUGCCCUUAGAUGUUCCGGGCCGCACACGUGCUACAAUGAUUAUUGCAGUGAGCAUCUCGAUCUGACAAAUUGUGUGUAAGCGUUGCAUAUUUAUUAUAUGCACUGUCUAACACGCAAUACUGCCUGCUUCGAAAGUUCGCGGGUAAUCAAUUAACAACAAUGAUUUCCAAAACAUAUAUAGCACACAUAUAUGUGAUUAUGCUAUCCACAUAGUCCCUAGUGUCUGUGUCGUGCAUAGCAUAAUUUUUCACAUGUGCAAUUGUCAAUUCAUGGUGGGGACAGACUAUUGUUAAUUAUUAGUCUCGGUCUUAACUAGGAAUGCCUUGUACUGGUUUAGUUCAUCAGACUACCAGGAAUACGUCCCUGCCCUUUGUACACACCGCCCGUCGCUCUUACCGAUGAACUAUACUGUGAGUAUAUUGGACUGCUGUAUUCUUGCGGAAAAAUACACGAACAGUGUGGUUUAAAGGAAAGAGAAGUCGAACAAGGCA